rnacentral:rRNA from 1 species
GAUGAGCGCUAGCUACAGGCUUAACACAUGCAAGUCGAGGGGUAACAAGAGAAAAGCUUGCUUUUCUUGUUGACGACCGGCGCACGGGUGAGUAACGCGUAUCCAACCUGCCUAUAACUAGGGAAUAACCUUGCGAAGGUAAGACUAAUACCCUAUGAUUUCCUUUGAUGACAUCAGAUUAGGAAUAAAGAUUUAUCGGUUAUAGAUGGGGUUGCGUCUGAUUAGCUUGUUGGCGGGGUAACGGCCCACCAAGGCAACGAUCAGUAGGGGUUCUGAGAGGAAGGUCCCCAACAUUGGAACUGAGACACGGUCCAAACUCCUACGGGAGGCAGCAGUGAGGAAUAUUGGUCAAUGGGCGGAAGCCUGAACCAGCCAAGUAGCGUGCAGGAUGACGGCCCUAUGGGUUGUAAACUGCUUUUAUACAGGAAUAAAGUUAGCCACGUGUGGUUAUUUGUAGGUACUGUAUGAAUAAGGACCGGCUAAUUCCGUGCCAGCAGCCGCGGUAA